rnacentral:rRNA from 1 species
UACGGAGGGUGCAAGCGCUAUCCGGAUUCACUGGGUUUAAAGGGUGCGUAGGUGGGCUGGUAAGUCAGUGGUGAAAUCUCCAGGCUUAACUUGGAAACUGCCAUUGAUACUAUCAGUCUUGAAUACCGUGGAGGUCAGCGGAAUAUGUCAUGUAGCGGUGAAAUGCUUAGAUAUGACAUAGAACACCAAUUGCGAAGGCAGCUGGCUACACGAAUAUUGACACUGAUGCACGAAAGCGUGGGGAUCAAACAGG